rfam:Gossypium arboreum cultivar AKA8401 contig_49836_3, whole genome shotgun sequence.
UGUUAAAAAAUUCAUUUGUUUCUAUUGUUAAAAAUUGGUGUGACUGACAGAAUAACCAAAUAGUUAUACAUGGCAUGCCACGAGUACUUCCUGCUGACUCACAAUGCCCAAUUUUUAAUAAUAGAAAUGGAUGAAAUUUUUAAUA